GACGAACGCUGGCGGCGUGCCCAAUACAUGCAAGUGGGACGCAAGAGAACACACUGUGCUUGCACACCGUGUUUUCUUGAGUCGCGAACGGGUGAGUAACGCGUAGGUAACCUGCCUAUUAGCGGGGGAUAACUAUUGGAAACGAUAGCUAAUACCGCAUAAUAUUAAUUAUUGCAUGAUAUUUGAUUGAAAGAUGCAAGCGCAUCACUAGUAGAUGGACCUGCGUUGUAUUAGCUAGUUGGUAAGGUAAGAGCUUACCAAGGCGACGAUACAUAGCCGACCUGAGAGGGUGAUCGGCCACACUGGGACUGAGACACGGCCCAGACUCCUACGGGAGGCAGCAGUAGGGAAUCUUCGGCAAUGGACGAAAGUCUGACCGAGCAACGCCGCGUGAGAGAAGAAGGUUUUCGGAUCGUAAAGCUCUGUUGUAAGUCAAGAACGUGUGUGAGAGUGGAAAGUUCACAC
rnacentral:rRNA from 1 species